rnacentral:lncRNA from 1 species
GUUGAUUAUGGAAGGUAUAUACGGUCUUCCCUGCAUGUGGGAAAUUGUCUUUUGCUUUCGUGAUGGCUGCACAUGAUGUCCCGGGCCAAAGGAGCUGCUAUGAAUAGGCUUUUAGUAACGUGGUGGUGAGGGGGGUGCGGGGCGGGGGAGUUUUUUCUAGUCCUGUGAUGAGGUCUCACUCUUAGUGAGCCUGUGCCAGUCAGCUGUGAACUUCACCAGCGCUGCUCAGUUUUUUUCUCUCUCCUUAGCUAGCACAGGAUGGUAAAGUGGGCUGGAGUUGGGUAUUUCCCUUCUAACACCUGGAAGGCUAACGGGGGCUUCUGUUUAAUAUUCCCUUCUCCCAGGUCAGUUAGGCCCUGAUAGCACUCCGGCAGGUUAGGCUCUGGUUAACUAGCUUCCCCUGGGUGCAGGCCUUGUUAAGUGGAACAGCGCAUUCUGGCCUAUUUAAAAGUGGUUCCUUUCCCCCUCCCCCUGCCAGGGCAAAGUGAAUUUUCACGCCGUUUACUACAGGAACGUGGUCGAGCUCCUGGAGGUAUAGGUAACCUCAGUACACAGACAGAUUAUGUGACCUCUCAGUCUGUGGCAAUCCUGGAGAACCUUCUGCAGGCCUUCCCGACAGUGAAAUGCCUAACUGUGCUUUUCCCUGGAGUUUUCACCAUCAAGUUUCCUUACCUGUAGAAAAGAGAUGAUAAUAAUGUUUGCCUUGUCAGAUUACACAGACAAUUAAAUGACCAAAUGGAGCAACAGUGUACGGCACAUGGUCUCCAAAAUGGUAGCUGAAGCUGAUCUAGGGGAUAACACCCUCUUUCUACAACUCCUUCUUCCAAGAGACGAAUACUCUGGAAGCCCGGUGCAAAACUUGUUACCUGGACACAUCCACUUAGGAAGAGAGGGAGCCAGAAGUAACUUGUGCAAAUUCAAAGUACUGCUGUGGUUUAAGAACCCAAAGAACAAAUUGCUGCCAACAAAGAGCAGUCGAACCAAAAGGCACACUGUGGUUCUGGAAGUAACCUUGAGAGGACAGUGAUGGCUUUGCUCUCUCUUUGAGCACACUCUGGCAUCAUUAACAGGAGCACUUUUGGGUCCAUCUAGAGCCUGUCUUCAAUCUCCGCAAUCUCAGGAAACUUGCAAAUCUCCUCUUCUUGCAUCCAGAGAUUCUAUCCCAGUUCAACUUCUUACUUUGGGGGUAUACUAUUUGAUUAAUUUCAUUUAAAAUAGGAAGAAAUAAGUCAAAACUGCUUUAAACAAAUAUAAAGAUUACAAUGGGUUAUUGAUACUGUUCUGCUAUACUGUAAUGGAUAAAUGCUAUGUAGUUUUCUUUAUGAUGUAUUUAAAAAUGCUUUAGGGUUCUUGAAACAUAAAUGCUUCAUCAAAAUAAAAACAAUAUGAUUAGAAAUUUCUUCUCAUUGGCAAAACUUUUUCACAGCUUUAAGUUUCCUAGUUGGAAAUAUUUCAGUAGUAAAAAGGGGAUAUGUCUAUAAUGUAUGAGGAAACAUGAAGAGAUUCUUGACUGAAAGAGACCUUGGAAGGCUUUGGUUCCUUGGGGCUGAAGGAAAACAUAUAUUUAGAAGCAAAGACAGAAUCCACUGGGUAAUUUCCACCGCCAAACGAUCUGCAAGACGUGUCCUUGGAAAUCAUGGCGAUAGGUCACUUCUUCCUUGGAGGUAUUCCAUACUUAAAAAUGGAGUGAGGAAUAGUGAACCCUUUAUCAGUGCUUUGAUAGAACUUGGAUAAGAUUCAGAAAAUGCAAAUCAUUCCAGAAGCCCCUCUCAACCCUUUCAGUGAAGAAAUCUUUGAUUGGGACUCACCACUUAAAAAGGGUGUGUGUGAAGGGAUCUUUGGAAGAUUUUCAACUUUUGAUGAGAUGGCUCCUUGGAUGGUUUUCAAGACCUGGAGGGGUCCAUAAUGAAGAAUCACGCUGCUUCCAUUAGUGUAUUUUUCCUCUUCAUGUUUGCAGACAACGCUGAGAAUCUGUCCAAUUUCUUCUUUGGCUAAGGUAGUCUUUAUUUUAAUGGAAAGGCUAGUCAACUUGGCAUGUUUGCAAAUGAGAAGAGUAAAUGAAAGCAAGUUACAUUUAGAUAAUUCUCAUAGCCAAUGGCAGAUAACUUUGUGUUUGCAACAGCUGCCCUGUUUUUUUCACAGUCGUUUACCGAAAGGAGUAGUAGAUUUGGAAAAUGAUGAAAAAAUAUGUCUUGUUUUACAGCUGUUAACCACCAGGUUAUUUUAUGGUUCACGUUGUGAAAGAAAUUUAGUUGGGAUAUGUAUAUUUUAAAAAAGGAGACUUAUGCCUUUAUAUAGUUCAUACAACUUAAUUAAUAUGUCACUUUUCAAAGCUCUGCAGUAUAUUUAAUUAGUAAUUAGGUUGAUGGGAAAGGUAUUAGUUUUGGGAGUUUCACCAACAAUCUUUGAUUUGCUCUUAAUUCAAAGACCAGAGAGUCUCCCUGUAUCUUAAUAUUGAAUUUUAUUUUCCCUUGAUCUUAUAGAUGUAGUAUUACAACAUGUCCCAAGAAUAUUUAGCUAUUAUUAUUUCAAUAGUUAAAGCACUAAACUUCUUACUGCAAUCUGGUUAAUUUGUUUGACCUAACUUUUGUGCUAUGUUUAUAAUAAGGACCAUUGUUCCUCACUAACUGCAAUAAUGAUAAGAAGAAAAAAAACCCCGCAGAAGUAAAAAGAAAAAUCACAAAUUAAAAAAGUCACAUUUAAGGCUAUAUGGCUUAUGAGGAUUGAUAUAAAAUUACAAUGCUCCUUGGUAUUCUGUGACCCUAUGUAUCCUAAAAGGCUUUAAUUUACAUAUUUAAAUUUUACUAUAAGUACUUAAAUAAAAAUAUGUAUUUAUCUUAUUGACAAUGAUUAGGAAAUACAUAUUAAUUAAUGAUCUCAAAAUAAUUUAUUGAAAAUAGUUACUUUUCAUACCUUGCGAAAUUUAAUAUAGUAGUAAGUGGCGUAACUUGACUAGUAGGGACGCAAAUACAAAUAUGCCAGUGCAAAUUUUAAGAUGACAUUGUUUUUAGGCCUAUUUUAAAAAAUCAUCUCUGUAAUUGAUAUUAGCUCCCAAACUUCCAUUAUCACCCAAGACCAAAACAUUUAGUUUCAGCAGCAGGAUCAGAAUUAAAACCCAUUACACAUGAAUGAGUCACUGUGAUAUCAAUGAAAGAUUGCUUUGGUAGGUGUUACGAAGUUAUAAAUUCAGGGGAGACAAAGAACCUAAAAUACAAAGGCUUAAAAUUUCCAGUCUUUCAGGGAACAUCUCUCUUAUGCUCCAGUCAAUGCCAGAAAAUCUGUGAAGAGCCUCGUUAAUACGGCAGUUGGUGAACAUCCUUGAACCAGUGGAUGAGUUCUUUGCAGCAUGUGCAAUUAUGGCUGUUGAUACAACUCUGCUCAGUAGGGCCGUUCUAGUGAAACUGUUCCCAAUUUAAGAUGGGUUUCUAUAGGUUCCAAGAGGGGGAAAAUAUACUUCAAAAUAGUUGUUAAGUCAGAAAGGAUCUCUUGGGUUCUAUUUAACAAAAAUUGUCUGCUGGCUUCCACAAAAUGGUUUUCUUGUUUGGAUAAGGCAUCCAGUCGAAAAAUGAACUGGGCCAUAAUAGC